GGCUAACCUGCCCUCGGGACGGGAAUACCCCCGGGAAACUGGGGCUAAUCCCCGAUAGGUGAAGAACUCUGGAAUGAGUCUCCGCCCAAAAGACGCUUAAAUCAUGCUUUUAGGCGCCGCCCAAGGAUGGGGCCGCGACCGAUCAGGUAGUUGGUGAGGCAACGGCUCACCAAGCCUUUAACCGGUGCGGGCCGUGGGAGCGGGAGCCCGGAGAUGGGCACUGAGACAAGGGCCCAGGCCCUACGGGGCGCAGCAGUCGCGAAAACUUUGCAAUACACGAAAGUGUGACAGGGCUAUCCCGAGUGCCAUCCGCUGAGGGAGGCUUUUACCCAGUCUAGAAAGCUGGGAGAAUAAGGAGAGGGCAAGUCUGGUGUCAGCCGCCGCGGUAAUACCAGCUCUCCGAGUGGUGUGGAUGUUUAUUGGGCCUAAAGCAUCCGUAGCUGGCCAAGUUAGUCCCCUGUUAAAUCCACCGAAUUAAUCGUUGGAGUGCGGGGGAUACUGCUCGGCUAGGGGACGAGAGAGGCCGACGGUAUUUCCGGGGUAGGGGUGAAAUCCUAUAAUCCCGGGAAGACCACCAGUGGCGAAGGCUGUCGGCUAGAACGCGCCCGACGGUGAGGGAUGAAAGCUGGGGGAGCGAACCGGAUUAGAUACCCGGGUAGUCCCAGCUGUAAACGAUGCAGGCUAGGUGUUAGGGCGGCCACGUGCCGCUCUAGUGCCGCAGGGAAGCUGUUAAGCCUGCCGCCUGGGGAGUACGGCCGCAAGGCUGAAACUUAAAGGAAUUGGCGGGGGAGCACCACUAGCGGUGAAGCUUGCGGUUUAAUUGGAGUCUACGCCGGAAAUCUCACCGGGAGCGACAGCAGAAUCAAAGCCAGAUUAAAGGUCUUGCCAGACGAGCUGAGAGGAGGUGCAUGGCCGUCGCCAGUUCGUGCCGUGAGGUGUCCUGUUAAGUCAGGCGACGAUCGAGACCCGCAUCUCCAGUUGCUACCAACCAUGCGUUGGGC
rnacentral:rRNA from 1 species